AACGAACGCUGGCGGCAUGGAUUAGGCAUGCAAGUCGAACGAGGUAGCAAUACCGAGUGGCGGAAGGGUGAGGAACGCGUGAGUAAUCUGCCCUCUAGUUGGGAAUAACAGUUGGAAACGACUGCUAAUACCGAAUGUGGCUAUUAGACCGCAUGGUCUUAUGGCUAAAGAUUUAUCGCUAGAGGAUGAGCUCGCGUCCCAUUAGCUAGUUGGUGAGGUAACGGCUCACCAAGGCGACGAUGGGUAGCUGGUCUGAGAGGAUGGUCAGCCACACUGGGACUGAGACACUGCCCAGACUCCUACGGGAGGCUGCAGUCGAGAAUCUUGGGCAAUGCGCGAAAGCGUGACCCAGCAAUGCCGCGUGCGGGAUGAAGGUCUUCGGAUUGUAAACCGCUGUCAACCGGGACGAACAGAUGACUGUACCGGUGAAGGAAGCCACGGCUAACUACGUGCCAGCCGCCGCAGUAAAAC
rnacentral:rRNA from 1 species